rnacentral:rRNA from 1 species
GACGAACGCUGGCGGCGUGCUUAACACAUGCAAGUCGUGCGGUAAGGCCCUUUCGGGGGUACACGAGCGGCGAACGGGUGAGUAACACGUGAGCAACCUGCCCUUCACUUUGGGAUAACUGCCGGAAACGGUGGCUAAUACCGGAUAUGACUUCCUCACGCAUGUGGGGUGGUGGAAAGCCUUCGGGUGGUGGGGGAUGGGCUCGCGGUCUAUCAGCUUGUUGGUGGGGUGAUGGCCUACCAAGGCUUCGACGGGUAGCCGGCCUGAGAGGGUGACCGGCCACACUGGGACUGAGACACGGCCCAGACUGCUACGGGAGGCAGCAGUGGGGAAUAUUAGACAAUGAGCGAAAGCCUGAUCCAGCAACGCCGCGUGAGGGAUGACGGCCUUCGGGUUGUAAACCUCUUUCGCCUGCGACGAAGCGAGAGUGACGGUAGCAGGUAAAGAAGCACCGGCCAACUACGUG